rnacentral:rRNA from 1 species
AGGACGAACGCUGGCGGCGUGCUUAACACAUGCAAGUCGAGCGGUAAGGCCUUUCGGGGUACACGAGCGGCGAACGGGUGAGUAACACGUGGGUGAUCUGCCCUGCACUCUGGGAUAAGCCUGGGAAACUGGGUCUAAUACCGGAUAUGACCUGCUCUCGCAGUGGGGGUGGGUGGAAAGAUUUAGUCGGUGCGAGGAGUCGGGCCCGCGGCCUAUCAGUCUUGUUGGUGGGGUAAUGGCCCUACCGAAGGCGGCGACGGGUAGCCGACCUGAGAGGGUGACCGGCCACGACGUGGACUGAGACGACGGCCCAGACUCCGUACGGGAGCAGCAGGU